rnacentral:rRNA from 1 species
AGUGAACGCUGGCGGUAGGCCUAACACAUGCAAGUCGAACGGCAGCACAGUAAGAGCUUGCUCUUACGGGUGGCGAGUGGCGGACGGGUGAGGAAUACAUCGGAAUCUACUUUUUCGUGGGGGAUAACGUAGGGAAACUUACGCUAAUACCGCAUACGACCUACGGGUGAAAGCAGGGGAUCUUCGGACCUUGCGCGAUUGAAUGAGCCGAUGUCGGAUUAGCUAGUUGGCGGGGUAAAGGCCCACCAAGGCGACGAUCCGUAGCUGGUCUGAGAGGAUGAUCAGCCACACUGGAACUGAGACACGGUCCAGACUCCUAAGGGAGGCAGCAGUGGGGAAUAUUGGACAAUGGGCGCAAGCCUGUUCCAGCCAUACCGCGUGGGUGAAGAAGGCCUUCGGGUUGUAAAGCCCUUUUGUUGGGAAAGAAAAGCAGCAGGUUAAUACCCCGCUGUUCUGACGGUACCCAAAGAAUAAGCACCGGCUAACUUCGUG